UGGGGAAUAUUGCACAAUGGGGGAAACCCUGAUGCAGCGACGCCGCGUGAGUGAAGAAGUAUUUCGGUAUGUAAAGCUCUAUCAGCAGGGAAGAGAAUGACGGUACCUGAGUAAGAAGCCCGGCUAACUACGUGCC
rnacentral:rRNA from 1 species